rnacentral:piRNA from 1 species
UACAUGGUGGGAUUCAUUAUUGUGGAC